rnacentral:rRNA from 1 species
UGGGGAAUUUUCUGCAAUGGGCGAAAGCCUGACAGAGCAAUACCGCGUGAGGGAUGAAGGCCUAUGGGUUGUAAACCUCUUUUCUCAAGGAGGAAGAUAUGACGUUACUUGAGGAAUAAGCAUCGGCUAACCCUGUGCCAGCAGCCGCGGUAAUACAGGGGAUGCAAGUGUUAUCCGGAAUCAUUGGGCGUAAAGCGUCUGCAGGUUGACUUUUAAGUCUUUUGUUAAAGCUCUGGGCUUAACCUAGAAUAUGCAAAGGAAACUAUUUGUCUUGAGUAUGGUAGAGGUAAAGGGAAUUUCCAGUGGAGCGGUGAAAUGCUUAGAUAUUGGAAAGAACACCAACAGCGAAGGCACUUUACUGGGCCAGUACUGACACUGAGAGACGAAAGCUAGGGGAGCAAACGGGAUUAGAUACCCCCGUAGUCCCUGAGCGGGCUGGCAAGGCGCAU